rnacentral:rRNA from 1 species
AGUGAACGCUGGCGGUAGGCCUAACACAUGCAAGUCGAACGGUAGCACAGUAAGAGCUUGCUCUUACGGGUGGCGAGUGGCGGACGGGUGAGGAAUACAUCGGAAUCUACUUUUUCGUGGGGGAUAACGUAGGGAAACCUACGCUAAUACCGCAUACGACCUACGGGUGAAAGCAGGGGAUCUUCGGACCUUGCGCGAUUGAAUGAGCCGAUGUCGGAUUAGCUAGUUGGCGGGGUAGAGGCCCACCAAGGCGACGAUCCGUAGCUGGUCUGAGAGGAUGAUCAGCCACACUGGAACUGAGACACGGUCCAGACUCCUACGGGAGGCAGCAGUGGGGAAUAUUGGACAAUGGGCGCAAGCCUGAUCCAGCCAUACCGCGUGGGUGAAGAAGGCCUUCGGGUUGUAAAGCCCUUUUGUUGGGAAAGAAAAGCAGCAGGUUAAUACCCCGCUGUUCUGACGGUACCCAAAGAAUAAGCACCGGCUAACUUCGUG